rnacentral:lncRNA from 1 species
UGUUCCCUCAGAAACAGGAAGGCCAAUGGGUCUGUUUUAAAAGGCAAACGUUUUCUUGUACAAUCACCUUGAUAGAAUCUGCGCCCUUGAUAAUCUGCAUGUUUUGGAAGUUGCGUUCUCCCCGUGAUGCUCCAGAAUGCUUUGAACGUUGGUCUCCACAGUCCAAUACCUUUGGCCCUGCCACGGUCUGAAGGGUGUAACUUCAGGAUCAAAUGCUACUUCCUCGAAAGGGCACAGAUCUUGGCAGAAUAUCUGCAUAACAGAUGUUGAAGAUGAUAAUGGACUAUUAGUUACCAAUAUCAACCAGACCUGGGAUUUGAUGAGACUUAAAAAUACAUCCAAGCUGUUUGUUGGGUUAAAAGCCACCGAUAACUGGGUUCAAGUCUAUGGUUUAGAAAGCAAACAUCUCACAUUGGAGGAUCUAACUAAGAAAGGCAAUAUCAUCCUAGAUGCAGGCGAUGGAACUGAACAUAUUGAAUUUACAAAGGAAGCCGUUCGUGAUUUUGAGUCCCAGUUGCAUGCAGCUAUUGAUCAUUUCAAUGAACGGAUUCAAUGGCUCUUACAUGGCAGCAGAAAGGUAAUGUGUACAGUUUAUUCAUUUAUAUGAAUCAUAAAAAAUAAAUACUGAAAAAUAUAUUCUCUUAAACGAAAC